rnacentral:rRNA from 1 species
UACGGAGGGUGCGAGCGUUGUCCGGAAUCAUUGGGCGUAAAGGGCGCGUAGGUGGCCCGGUCAGUUUGUGGUGAAAGCGCGGGGCUCAACUCCGCGUCGGCCAUGAAUACUGCUGGGCUGGAGCACUGUAGAGGCAGGCGGAAUUCCGGGUGUAGCGGUGGAAUGCGUAGAGAUCCGGAAGAACACCGGUGGCGAAGGCGGCCUGCUGGGCAGUUGCUGACACUGAGGCGCGACAGCGUGGGGAGCAAACAGG